UACGAAGGGGGCUAGCGUUGCUCGGAAUGACUGGGCGUAAAGAGCGUGUAGGCGGCUCGGUAAGUCCGCUGUGAAAGUCCAGGGCUCAACCCCUGGAAUGCCGGUGGAAACUGUCGAGCUAGAGUCCGGAAGAGGCGAGUGGAAUUCCUGGUGUAGCGGUGAAAUGCGCAGAUAUCAGGAGGAACACCAUGGCGAAGGCAGCUCGCUGGGACGGUACUGACGCUGAGACGCG
rnacentral:rRNA from 1 species